AUUAACGAUAGUUUGGAGAACGAUGGAUAGAGGUUUCACUGUAUCCCCCACUAGCACCGUAUUUAAAGCUGAAGCAUGCUUGCUCUGUCUGCGUGCGGUGUAGUGGGCGUUCAGGUUUCAAACCCUGUCUCCUACCCCAGUGGCUGCCCAGUCUCGUCAGAGGUUAGGUUAGAUGGGUUGACAAAGGAAAUAAUACCCAGUUCUCUGUAUACACUAUUUAUCUUAUUAAGGAAGUAGCUGAAAGUAAUUAAUGCACGUGUCUAUCAUAAAAAAGUGUCUACACAUUGUGUUGGGCGUCAGUAUUUCAUAGAAAUCUGUUUUGUGUUUGUGCUGUACACAAAAUAUAGAUUGUAGACAACAAAACAGUUUGUAGUAUUAACAUUUUAUUUUGCCUUCCCUACGCUUCAGAAUGUUUUAAUUUUCUUAGAGUUGAGAAGUUUGAUUUAUGUGUUGUUUGAAGUCGUUCGGCACCGAGUCCCUUGGGCAAUCUUGUGACAAGUGUGAAAAACCCAGAGCACUUGUACUUGAAGUGAAAUGAUCAGAAUCAAAAAUAAAACAGUUUAGAUGUAUGUUAAUGUAAACUAUUAUCAGAAUCAAAUCCUGUGGUAGGCGUGGAAAAACUUGUGUUCUUCCGAAACUGGUACCUCCUUUUACUUCUGUUUUAUUUUGGCACAGGGAAACUUAGCAUUUCAUCAUGAAUGUAGGAGAUGUGGACUACGGUCUUCUUGAUAAUGACUGUAAAAGUUAUACCCUGAAGAUGGAGGCUGUGUUUUCCAGUGAAGUGUUGGUAAGCAUCUACAGGGUCCGGCAGGGAACUUGAUGGUUUUUGAAAUGAUAAUACAAAGUUAUAGUUUGAUAAAAAAACAAAAAAAUAUUUUUUUACUUAAAGAGAAAUAAAUGCCAUUUAUGAGCCGAUAAAAACCAAAUUUAGAAAGUUAAUUGUUGGAUUUAAAAAUGACGUCCUCCAAAUGAUGACCAUUUCUGCAAACACAUUCUUGCAGUCUGUUGGUGAAGUUCUGCAUUGCACGCUGUGUUAUAGUUAGAGAUACAUUCUAAGUCCAUCUUCAGGGCUGAAGUUCAGUCUUCUAUAUGUUGUUGCUGGGGACUUUUCUGGAGCUGAAAAAGCUAAAGUGUGAUGUGACUUUACUACUGCAUUUAGUGUUAAGGUGUCUGUUGUUUAGUAGCAUGGUGCUUAGGUCCAGUGAGAACUUUCCUGUUUUUAUUCUUGUGAUGUAUCCUUAAAUAAUAAUAGGCACACAUAUGUUUCUGAAAAAUGUGCCAGAAAGUGUAUCAGCUCUGAAUUUAUGUGCAGCAUUGAGUUUGUGUUUAUGUUUAUGUGUUUGAAUUAAACUUGUUAUAAAGUCUGUAUAUGUAAACAUUUGUCUGACAUAUUUCCUAUUCAGAAUGGUCUAAAACAAGGAGAUGCUUUAUUGCCAUUGCUUUAGAAUAUUCCUUUAGGAAGAUCCAAGAAAACCAGGUGCAACUGAAAUUGAAUGGAACAUUCCAGCUUUUGGUCUAUGCUGAUGAUUUAAAUCUAUUUGGGGAUAAAGAAAAACACAAGCUCUAAUUGAUACUAGUAAGGCGGUUGGUCCAGAGGUAAACAGAGAAAACCAUGUGUGUUGAUGAGCAUCUUCUGGCUUCUUGUGGCAUGUGGUCUAGUAGAAGUUUGCCGACGUGUCGGAGGUCCUUGCUGUCUCCAUCAUCAGGUCGACGAGUAAGCUGCGCAAGUGGAAAACGCUUUCCACUCGCUCGGCAGAAGAAUGAGAUGGAUGGGACAUGUGGCGCGCAUGGAUGGGGCAAGAAGUGUGCAGUGGGUAUUGAUCAGGAAGACUGAAGGGAAGAGCCUGCUUUGAAGGCCUAGACAUAGAUGAGAGGAUAAUAUGCGGGAUCUAUGGGAGAUAGGAGUUGAAGGCGACUGCAUUUUGUUGGCCCAGUACAGGGACCGGUGGAGGGCUUUUAUUAAUUCGGUGAUGAACUUAAGGGAUUCUGUAAGCCAUCUAGUUAGCUUGAGCCUUGGUGUUUGGCACAGAUGUCAUUUAUACAGAGCUGUGGGUAGAAAGCAGAGAUGAGUACAAGGUUCCUGCUAGUUACAUAACCCGUCUCACUGAAGUGUCCAUAGAUAACAUCGCUUUCGGGGAUAAUUGAAGUAGAGUGAAAUUUGAACGGAAGUAAGAAUUACAUGAGAUAAGUUUUGCAUUGUGUUGGAUAUAUCCAUAACGUUCAUUUUUUGUAUUAUAAAACGUAUUGAUAAGUUUCUUCAAUAAUCCCCAAGGUGUGUGUAACUACGCAAUUUUUUGUAUGCCAAAAAUAUCGAUCGUGGUAUUUGUACCUGCUGUUAUUCGAAUAGUGUUAAUCUAUUUUUUUAAUGAGACUGAAAUAGGUAUUAAGGUCACAUAUCUGACUUGUUGUACAGUAAGAAGCAUUGUCCGCGAUGUCAUGAUGUUGAGAUUUCUGGAAAUGCCAGUUCGAGCUUUAUAUAUUUAUCCAGGAAAUGUCAUAAUUGACUAUAUCCAACGACGAAACGUGUAGUAAAUUAAUUGAAACUAUGUUUAUAAUUAAGUUUUUAUGUUUGUACUGUCACAUUGAAAAUUUGAAGUGCCAUUGGGCAAAUUUGCUUUAGCAUUUUUAUCGAAUGAUGUGAAAACUGAAAGAAACUGGCAGUAAGUCAUUUGGUGAAGUUUUCGCGAUGUAAGUACGGGACUAUAAAUAAGUUGGAUCCAAGCUAAAGUAUUUGGGUAUGGAAUGUUUCACAUUGAGUGACUAAGCGCUAAACUUAUCCGUGGUCUUUUUCUGAAACAUACAGAUGUACCUUUCAUUCACAUGUUACAAGAAUGAGAUUUAUCAGAAUUUUUAAGGUGUAUUUGUUGAAGUUGUUUAUGUGUGUGAAAAGUACCAGAAGUAGUGAAAAAAGUGUGUAUCCUUUAUUUUAGAAAACCAAAAACAAUAAACAUGCAUCGUGUUCGGACAGUGUUGAACAAUUUGGUUCCUCUGGCACCAUUGAUUCAUAAUGUGGCAGGACCAGACCGUUUUGCAUCAUGGCUUCUGAGGUCUGGCAAAACAUCUUACACAGUGUUGGUGUCAUUUACAAGGCAUUAUAAUGCUCCUGUUCAAACAGAACCAUUUUUGAACGGUAGCUCAUCUGCAUACGUUGAAGAAAUGUACAAUGCUUGGCUGGCAGAUACUAAAAGUGUGCAUGUGCAGCAGUGCCUGAUGUCUUGAACUUGAAUGAUCCAGGUUGCAAGAACACUGAUGUUCCAACACGGUACUCUUCACCCCUCGGCCGUACAACACCAAACAGCACCUAAAAAUGUAAGACAAGAAAUUGCAAUAAAAGAGAUUUCAUUCCACGUUAUCUGUGAUGAUCAAGUGCCAUAAACACAUUCAUUGCUGGGCAUUUGAAUUCUAGCUAAACUUGCGGAUGGAAAAGCAGUGAUUUCAAUUAGAUAGGCAAAUGCGUGUACAGAAUGUAUGUCAAAAAUCAACAAAAUAUUUUGAUGAUUAGUUAUAAUUUAAUGAGUAAAUUUUGGUAGUGAAAGUAUUACAUAAACAAACAAAAUUAAUGGAAUUUUAAACAGUGUAUGAUAUACUGUGUUUAAAAAAUGCUACUAUAAAUGUGGGUUUCACAAUUUUUUGCUUGUUAUCAAAUAACAGGAUUAAACUCCUCACUGAUGCCGUUAUACCAAGUCUUGCAAUGUAUUAAAUAAUAAACAGAAUUGUGACAUAAUUUCAACAUUACUAUAAAUUAAAAAGAAACCGCACUGAAGCCUUAGGAUGUAUGGUAUUCAUGUUAACAUAAAGUAGUACACACAAAUCAUGCAGCAGUUGACUAUGAUUUUUUAAAUUAACACCAUCUAUCGACAAACAAUACAAAUCAGUAGAUUAAAAUUUAACCACAAGAUAAAGAAAAUGCUCCUGUAAUUAUGUAAACCCUACAGGAAUGGGAGAGAAAUGAGUAAGAUGGUAAUUUAUUAUUAAUGGCAAAGUCUGUUAUGUUGCUUACUAAUAUAACAAUAAUGGCUUAAAUCAUGUAUUUAUUUAAAUCUACAUUUAUUCAUAAAUUUUCAUAAAGUACUAUUAAUGAUGAUGUAUCAACUUUUAAAGUGGCUACAAAGUAAUGCUCAGAUUUUUUCACAGAAAUAUUUACAGUCAGUAAUUCAGACAAAUAUUUUGGUCUGUGCAGACCAUCGGAUUUUGGAUCACAAAUUUGCUUGCCAAAACAUAUUAUUGCAGUUUCAUUCUUUGUUUGUGCUAUACUAAAACUGAACGAAAUUGUUUAUGUUAUUUAUCGUUGAAGGUACCAGUCGAUUACGAAAUUGUUAGGAGGGUUUUGAAACGCACCUGCUCUAUAACGCGCAGAUCUUACUAUUGAUAUAACCUGCAUCUAAAAAUGUUGGUGUGAAGGUGAAUGCGAAAUGUUAACCACGUGGUGUCAUAACCAAGAAGUCCAUAAUCAGUAUUUUCGUAAAAUCUUUGCUGGUGUACACGUAUUUUUCGUGCCUUAACUCAGUUUUGUGAAACUUUACAAAAUCUCAGUUGAAUUUAAUAUUUCAUUAAUAGCUGAUAUGUCAGACGAAAUUUUUGUGAUAAGUCCUUUUUGAAGCAUUAGCAUAGGAGCAAAUGACAUUGUCAUAAAAUAGAACCAUUAAUAACAAUAACGCCAAAUGCUUGUUUGAAUACAUCAACGAAAUAGUACCGCAAGACGAAGUGAUUUGGUUACGUGGCUUUUGUAGGGGUUAUUGAGUGCACUAUUCGAAAAAUGUUUUAUUUUGGUGUUAAAACUAAGUUUUUGUUAAAUAAGCGGGCGUCUGUUGAAGUCUAGAGGCUACGUAAUAAUGUUUGUAUAUUGGCAAAAAUGACGAACAUUUAUAACAUAGAUCAUUUUGCUGUUUUGUUAUGUUGUGGUAUAUAAUAAAAAUGAGUGUAUGUCAGAAACACA